UUGAGGAGCAGGACUUGGCUCGCUUUGUGAACAGAUCCGGGACAGGCCGUGUUCACAGUGGCUAAGUUCCGCUCCUCUG
rnacentral:pre_miRNA from 1 species